rnacentral:rRNA from 1 species
GAUGAACGCUGGCGGCGUGCCUAAUACAUGCAAGUCGAGCGAACAGACGAGGAGCUUUCUCCUCUGACGUUAGCGGCGGACGGGGGAGUAACACGUGGAGAACCUACCUAUAAGACUGGGAUAACUUCGUGAAACCGGAGCUAAUACCGGAUAAUAUAUUGAACCGCAUGGUUCAAUAGUGAAAGACGGUUUUGCUGUCACUUAUAGAUGGAUCCGCGCCGCAUUAGCUAGUUGGUAAGGUAACGGCUUACCAAGGCAACGAUGCGUAGCCGACCUGAGAGGGUGAUCGGCCACACUGGAACUGAGACACGGUCCAGACUCCUACGGGAGGCAGCAGUAGGGAAUCUUCCGCAAUGGGCGAAAGCCUGACGGAGCAACGCCGCGUGAGUGAUGAAGGUCUUCGGAUCGUAAAACUCUGUUAGUAGGGAAGAACAAAUGUGUAAGUAACUAUGCACGUAUUGACGGUACCUAAUCAGAAAGCCACGGCUAACUACGUG